CUCAAAUAUUGUGUUACGUAUUAAAGAAAAAAAGUUCUAUUAAUAAUUAAAACAAACAUUAAACAUAUCUUUGUAACUUGAUUAAUAUCAACAUUCGUAAUCAUUUUAAAACUAUCAUAACCAUCAAUGAUGUUAUUCGAAAGAGUUAUUCUUUCGUAAUGAUAAACAUUAGAUGAAAAUUUGAAGAAAGUUAGGUCGUAUCAUCUUUAAUCCCAAGAUCUUUUUGCACCACCCCUAGAGAGACAUCGCGACAGCUGAAUUGAAUAAAGUUUAUAAGGAAGCUAAAACACCACACGUACACCCCAGUUCUGGGAUGGCGCAUAGCGGGAAAAAGAAGUACGCAGCGAUCAAGAACGAGAGAGAGAGA